rfam:Sorghum bicolor cultivar BTx623 chromosome 7, whole genome shotgun sequence.
AUUCCAUGAUGGGGACAUUCUAGGAUGUUGUCUUGGAAGCACUCCCAUGCUUCUGGAACGGAUUCAUCAUGUUGUUGCUGAAAACUUCUAAUCUUCCCACGUAGAGC